AGUACAUAGAUGGCUGUUGGGCGGUCAGGCUAAUCUCCCGGAAGGGAGGUGAUGCCAUGGAGGUAUCUCAAACGCUGACGUUGAUGAUUUCUUUCGCAACGUUGAUCGUGCUGAUUCUUUCCUUCAACAAAAAGAAGUAGACCGCCCAAUCCCCAGAUAGGUUGGCGGUCUACUCUACGGCUGUAACCUCUUCAAAGCCCACCGCCCAUAAAGCGGCUAUGUGCCCGGGUCACAGAUGCUGGUAACAUCUGCG
rnacentral:sRNA from 1 species